rnacentral:rRNA from 1 species
CUACGGAGGGUGCAAGCGUUAAGCGGAAUUACUGGGCGUAAAGCGCGCGUAGGCGGUUUGGUAAGUCGGAUGUGAAAGCCCCGGGCUCAACCUGGGAAUUGCAUUCGAUACUGCCAGACUAGAGUAUGGUAGAGGGAAGUGGAAUUCCGGGUGUAGCGGUGAAAUGCGUAGAUAUCCGGAGGAACACCAGUGGCGAAGGCGACUUCCUGGACCAAUACUGACGCUGAGGUGCGAAAGCGUGGGGAGCAAACAGGAUUAGAAACCCUAGUAGUCC